AUUGAACGCUGGCGGCAGGCCUAACACAUGCAAGUCGAACGAGUGGCGGACGGGUGAGUAAUGUCUGGGAAACUGCCUGAUGGAGGGGGAUAACUACUGGAAACGGUAGCUAAUACCGCAUACCAUCAGAUGUGCCCAGAUGGGAUUAGCUUGUUGGUGGGGUAACGGCUCACCAAGGCGACGAUCCCUAGCUGGUCUGAGAGGAUGACCAGCCAAACUGGAACUGGGCCACGGCCCAGACUCCUACGGGAGGAAGCGGGGGGGAAUAUUGAACAAUGGGCGAAAGCCUGAUGCACCAAUGCCGGGUGUAGGAAGAGGGCCUUCGGGUUGUAAGUACUUUCAGCGGGGAGGCGUUACCCGCAGAAGAAGCACCGGCUAACUCCGUGCCAGCAGCCGCGGUAAUAC
rnacentral:rRNA from 1 species